rnacentral:rRNA from 1 species
AUUGAACGCUGGCGGCAGGCCUAACACAUGCAAGUCGAGCGGAUGAAGGGAGCUUGCUCCUGGAUUCAGCGGCGGACGGGUGAGUAAUGCCUAGGAAUCUGCCUGGUAGUGGGGGAUAACGUCCGGAAACGGGCGCUAAUACCGCAUACGUCCUGAGGGAGAAAGUGGGGGAUCUUCGGACCUCACGCUAUUAGAUGAGCCUAGGUCGGAUUAGCUAGUUGGUGGGGUAAAGGCCUACCAAGGCGACGAUCCGUAACUGGUCUGAGAGGAUGAUCAGUCACACUGGAACUGAGACACGGUCCAGACUCCUAGGGGAGGCAGCAGUGGGGAAUAUUGGACAAUGGGCGAAAGCCUGAUCCAGCCAUGCCGCGUGUGUGAAGAAGGUCUUCGGAUUGUAAAGCACUUUAAGUUGGGAGGAAGGGCAGUAAGUUAAUACCUUGCUGUUUUGACGUUACCAACAGAAUAAGCACCGGCUAACUUCGUG